rnacentral:tRNA from 1 species
AAAAGUUUAGUUAAUUUAUAUAACAUUAAUUUGUCAAAUUAAAAUAAUCAUUUUGAUAACUUUUA